AUGGCGCCCGGCGCCCUCCGCCUCCCCCCCCCCGCGCGGCCGCCAUUUUGUCUCCUCCUCCAGCCGCUCUCCGAGCCCCCCUCGGCCGGGCCCGGGGCCCGGCGCCCACCUCGCCCGCCUCCCCCCGGGCCCGCGGCCGCCCCCCGCCGCUUCCGCCGCCCUCGCGCCGCCGCCCCCCGCUCCCGGGGCCGCGCCGGGCGCCCGGAGCCCGGCGGCCGGGGCCCUGCGGCCCGCUCGGUUGCCGGAGCCCUGUCGCGGCCUACCUGCGGCCUCCUCGGGGCCUGCGCCGCGGCCUGCUGCGGGCAGGGGAAGGCCCGGGCCGGGCCGGGCGGCGGGGCCGGGCCGCGGGCUGCUUACCGUGCGGGUGGCGGGCGGCGGCGCUGGGCGCGGCGCGGCCUCUCUCGGCGCGACUGGGCCGAGCGCGGCGGCGGCAGCAGCGGCAGCGGCGGCGGCGGCGGCUGCGGCGGGGCGGGCGGGCGGGAGGGGAGGGAGGGGCCGAGCUCGGAGCUGAGUGGAAGCGGCCAAGCUCCCCGGGCCGGGCCGGGCCCGCCGUCAGCACGUCACGUCACUGCCCGAGAGAGACCCAGGAAAAGGCGGAAGGCAGCGCGACGCCGCCGCCCGCCGCCGCCCCGCCGCCUCGGGACGGCCGCCCGCCGGGGACGGGGCCGCCGGGCGGGCCGGGGGCCUCCGCCGGGCGAGGCGGGGGGGGAGGCGAGGCGAGGCGGCGCGGCCGCGCUCCGCUCCCCGCGGCUCCUCCUGCCGCCGCCUCCGCCGCCGGGCCGAGCCCCGCGCCCCCCGAGCGGAGCGGCGGCCCCGGGGACCCCGCUGCCUGCCCCCCGGCCCGGCCCGGCCCGGCCCGGCCCGGCCCGGCCCCUCCAUGCCGAGCCUCCCCGCCCGCGGCCUCCCGCGGCCGACAGGCCCCGGCCCGGCCUCGGGGUGCGGGCCCGAGGGCUGCGGGCUCCGCGCUGCGGGCUCGGGGGGCGCCCGGCGAGAAGCCUUUGGGGGGGACGGGGCCUCGGGCGUGGGGGGCGCGGGGCCCGGGGUCGCCCCAGCGCGGGGUGCGGCUGCAGGCCGCCGUUUUCACUGACAGCAACAACAACAGCAGUAAUAACUACAGCAGUAAUAACUACAGCAGUAAUAAUAGCGAUAACAAAGCAGCGGGGCCGGGUGGGCGCAGCCCGAGCCCCAGAUUUUCGGCGAGGAAAAGUGGCUCCCGCACACGUGAUGGGAACGGCGCUUCCCCCAGGGCUGCUGGCGCUUAUGUAA
rnacentral:lncRNA from 1 species